UACGUAGGGGGCAAGCGUUGUCCGGAAUCAUUGGGCGUAAAGCGCGUGUAGGCGGCUCGAUAAGUCCGCUCUGAAAGCCCAGGGCUCAACCCUGGGAUGCGGGUGGAUACUGUCGGGCUCGAGUCCGGAAGAGGCGAGUGGAAUUCCUGGUGUAGCGGUGAAAUGCGCAGAUAUCAGGAGGAACACCAAUGGCGAAGGCAGCUCGCUGGGACGUGACUGACGCUGAGACGCGAAAGCGUGGGGAGCAAACAGG
rnacentral:rRNA from 1 species